AUGAUAAGUGUGGAAGAAUUUGAGAAUGCGUGGGGUAUACUUGUUGAGAAAUAUAAUCUAAAGUCCCACAACUACAUGACAAACCUGUACGAGAUACGUCAAAAAUGGGCGAAGCCAUACCUCAAAGGUGUCUUCUGCACAAAAAUGACGAGCACCGAGCGAAGCGAGAGUGCAAACAACCUGCUAAAAAUGUACAUGCCACCAUCAAGCCCAAUGCAUGUCUUCGUUAAGCAAUACAUGAGGCUCCAAUUUGACAGGGAAUCAGAUGAGAGCUAUGAAGAAAAAAGGACCAGAGUUGUAUGA
rnacentral:rRNA from 1 species